CUGAGUACGGCGGAACACGUGAAAUUCCGUCGGAAUCCGGGAGGACCAUCUCCCAAGGCUAAAUACUCCCUAGUGACCGAUAGUGAACCAGUACCGUGAGGGAAAGGUGAAAAGCACCCCGGAAGGGGAGUGAAACAGUUCCUGAAACCGUGUGCCUACAAGUAGUUAGAGCCCGUUAAUGGGUGAUAGCGUGCCUUUUGUAGAAUGAACCGGCGAGUUACGAUUUGUUGCAAGGUUAAGCGGAAAAAGCGGAGCCGUAGCGAAAGCGAGUCUGAAUAGGGCGCAUAAGUAACAGGUCGUAGACCCGAAACCAGGUGAUCUACCCAUGUCCAGGAUGAAGGUAAGGUAAUACUUACUGGAGGUCCGAACCCACGCACGUUGAAAAGUGCGGGGAUGAGGUGUGGGUAGCGGAGAAAUUCCAAUCGAACUUGGAGAUAGCUGGUUCUCUCCGAAAUAGCUUUAGGGCUAGCCUCGAGGUAAAGAGUCAUGGAGGUAGAGCACUGUUUGGACUAGGGGCCCUUCUCGGGUUACCGAAUUCAGAUAAACUCCGAAUGCCAUGUACUUAUACUCGGGAGUCAGACUGCGAGUGAUAAGAUCCGUAGUCGAAAGGGAAACAGCCCAGACCACCAGUUAAGGUCCCCAAAUAUAUGUUAAGUGGAAAAGGAUGUGGGGUUGCUUAGACAACCAGGAUGUUGGCUUAGAAGCAGCCACCAUUGAAAGAGUGCGUAAUAGCUCACUGGUCGAGUGACCCCGCGCCGAAAAUGUACCGGGGCUAAACAUAUUACCGAAACUGUGGAUGAACCUCUUUAGAGGUUCGUGGUAGGAGAGCGUUCUAAGGGCGGUGAAGUCAGACCGGAAGGACUGGUGGAGCGCUUAGAAGUGAGAAUGCCGGUAUGAGUAGCGAAAGAAGGGUGAGAAUCCCUUCCACCGAAUAUCUAAGGUUUCCUGAGGAAGGCUCGUCCGCUCAGGGUUAGUCGGGACCUAAGCCGAGGCCGAUAGGCGUAGGCGAUGGACAACAGGUAGAGAUUCCUGUACCAGUGCUAAUUGUUUAACCGAUGGGGUGACACAGAAGGAUAGGGAAUCGCACGAAUGGAAAUGUGCGUCCAAGCAGUGAGUGUGAGAAGUAGGCAAAUCCGCUUCUCGCGAAGCAUGAGCUGUGAUGGGGAAGGAAAUUAAGUACGGAAGUUCCUGAUUUCACGCUGUCAAGAAAAGCCUCUAGGAAGAGUAGUACUGCCCGUACCGCAAACCGACACAGGUAGAUGAGGAGAGAAUCCUAAGGUGAGCGAGAGAACUCUCGUUAAGGAACUCGGCAAAAUGACCCCGUAACUUCGGGAGAAGGGGUGCUCUAUUAGGGUGCAAGCCCGAGAGAGCCGCAGUGAAUAGGCCCAGGCGACUGUUUAGCAAAAACACAGGUCUCUGCAAAACCGUAAGGUGACGUAUAGGGGCUGACGCCUGCCCGGUGCUGGAAGGUUAAGAGGAGUGCUUAGCUUCGGCGAAGGUACGAAUUGAAGCCCCAGUAAACGGCGGCCGUAACUAUAACGGUCCUAAGGUAGCGAAAUUCCUUGUCGGGUAAGUUCCGACCCGCACGAAAGGCGCAACGAUCUGGGCACUGUCUCAACGAGAGACUCGGUGAAAUUAUAGUACCUGUGAAGAUGCAGGUUACCCGCGACAGGACGGAAAGACCCCGUGGAGCUUUACUGCAACCUGAUAUGGAAUGUUUGUACCGCUUGUACAGGAUAGGUAGGAGCCGAAGAGACGUGUGCGCUAGCAUACGAGGAGGCAAUGGUGGGAUACUACCCUGGCUGUAUGACCAUUCUAACCCGCCACGCUUAGCGCGUGGGGAGACAGUGUCAGGUGGGCAGUUUGACUGGGGCGGUCGCCUCCUAAAGAGUAACGGAGGCGCCCAAAGGUUCCCUCAGAAUGGAUGGAAAUCAUUCGCAGAGUGUAAAGGCACAAGGGAGCUUGACUGCGAGACUGACAAGUCGAGCAGGGACGAAAGUCGGGCUUAGUGAUCCGGUGGUUCCGCAUGGAAGGGCCAUCGCUCAACGGAUAAAAGCUACCCCGGGGAUAACAGGCUUAUCUCCCCCAAGAGUCCACAUCGACGGGGAGGUUUGGCACCUCGAUGUCGGCUCGUCG
rnacentral:rRNA from 1 species